UGGGGAAUAUUGGACAAUGGGGGCAACCCUGAUCCAGCCAUGCCGCGUGAGUGAUGAAGGCUUUAGGGUUGUAAAACUCUUUCAGUGGUGACGAUAAUGACGGUAGCCACAGAAGAAGCCCCGGCUAACUCCGUGCCAGCAGCCGCGGUAAUACGGAGGGGGCUAGCGUUGUUCGGAAUUACUGGGCGUAAAGCGCGCGUAGGCGGACUUUCAAGUCAGGGGUGAAAUCCCGAGGCUCAACCUCGGAACUGCCUUUGAUACUGUAAGUCUUGAGUCCGAGAGAGGUGAGUGGAAUUCCUAGUGUAGAGGUGAAAUUCGUAGAUAUUAGGAAGAACACCAGUGGCGAAGGCGGCUCACUGGCUCGGUACUGACACUGAGGUGCGAAAGCGUGGGGAGCAAACAGGAUUAGAUACCCGUGUAGUCC
rnacentral:rRNA from 1 species